AGAGUUUGAUCCUGGCUCAGAAUCAACGCUGGCGGCGUGCCUAACACAUGCAAGUCGAACGCGGUUUUCUCGCAAGAGAAAACUGAGUGGCAAACGGGUGAGUAACACGUGGGUGACCUGCCUUCGAGUGGGGGAUAACGUUCCGAAAGGGACGCUAAUACCGCAUAACAUCCUGUCUUUUAAGAGAUGGACAUCAAAGU
rnacentral:rRNA from 1 species